rnacentral:rRNA from 1 species
UACGGGGGGGGGCAAGCGUUGUUCGGAAUUACUGGGCGUAAAGGGCUCGUAGGCGGCCAACUAAGUCGGACGUGAAAUCCCCAGGCUUAACUUGGGAACUGCGUCCGAUACUGGAUGGCUUGAAUCCGGGAGAGGGAUGCGGAAUUCCAGGUGUAGCGGUGAAAUGCGUAGAUAUCUGGAGGAACACCGGUGGCGAAGGCGGCGAUCCUGGACCGGUAUUGACGCUGAGUGAGCGAAAGCCAGGGGAGCAAACGGGG